AGGGAGGAAAAGAGUGAGGCUGGGAGUGAGCGGCAUAGUAUAGCCAGCGUCACCCUUUUACGGGGACUGUCUCUCUAUCGCUGUAGUGACCAGAGAGGCCAGAGGACCCCUUAAAAAGCCGCGCUGACACGCCCCGGGGACGACCUCCUUUGCGCCCUCGGAUUGGGCCCACGAACCCAGACUGGGCCUUCCCAUUGGUGGGUGGCGCUGUCAGUGGGCCCCGAGCUCAGCGCACAGCUUGCUGGGAGUUGUAGGACGAGGCGUCUUCCUCGUCCCGGAGGCUUCGGGCGUGACAACGGCAGUUUCUGCUCAGCCGGUGUGAGUCCUCGAGUUCCCCUUUGGACCUCCCCAGCUUAUUUUAGUUCAGGAAUCCGUCAGGCCUAGCCUGCCGGCUACAAGAACUUCGUUUCCCGGGGCUAACGGCCCUGAGGCCCUGGUUCUGGGGAUCCGUCUGGAUGACCGUUGAACCGAGGGCUGGCCGUUGGGGAGCUCGGCUCGCGGUUCGCUGGGGCUGGAGGAGCCGUUGGUUCCCUUCGGGGCCAGGGGCGCGGAAGACCUGAGGGCUUAAGGAUUUGUCACCGAGAAUUCUACACUUCUGUAUACCAGAAACGGAGCACGUUUGUCCCGCCGUUUUGAUCAUGGGGGAGGGCCCGUGACUGGUCACAGUGGGAGAGUGGAGGAUGUCAAAGAGGGAUGAACCCUUUGUGGGCUCACAAACUGAUGGGGAAGAUGGACGCGUCAGGCAGCCUUGACAGUUUCUUUGUCUCCUUCUCUAAGUAUCCUUACCAGGAGUCUCCUGUUUCGGCCCUGUGGGGGCUUUGCCACACCUGGGAUCUGGGACCUGCAACUCCGCAGUUUCCAGAAAUGGCUUCUUUUGUUAUUUGUAUUUAAUGAACACGACAACUUGCAAGAUUAAUCUUGAAAACUUUGAUUUAGAAGAGACCCUUUGUCUGGAAUACAGUUGCCCCAGAUCUCUUCUUAGCUUGUUCCCUGUCAGAAUGGCAGAGUCCCAUCAGGAAAAUCUCUGGAGUGAUGCUGUCUGGAGGGCUGGACUGGGGGAAGGGGCUUGUAGGGAGGAUGCUCCUGAAUGUCUAUGUGAGAGGAGCUGAGAGGCACCAAUCAGCAAGGCAAUCUGAGUGGAAAGAGGAUUCAGAGGCUUGAUUGGAAGCUGCAUUUGCAUAGCAAAUGUCAGUAUCAUGUAAGUAUCCAGUGUGGCUUGGUGCUGCCACUGCUCUAGACUUGCGCCACCCAACAUGUGGCUUUUGAGCACUCGAAAUGUGCUUAAUUAAUCCAAAUUAGAAAUGGUGUAAGUGUAAA
rnacentral:lncRNA from 1 species